GACGAACGCUGGCGGCGUGCUUAACACAUGCAAGUCGAACGGAAAGGCCUGCUUUCCCUUGUGGAUUGCGGGUACUCGAGUGGCGAACGGGUGAGUAACACGUGAGUGAUCUGCCCCCAACUUGGGUAUAAGCCUGGGAAACUGGGUCUAAUUCCCGAUAGGACUGCAGGGUGGUGCCUGUGGUGGAAAACGAUUUUCUAGUGGUUGGGGAUGAGCUCGCGGCCUAUCAGCUUGUUGGUGGGGUAAUGGCCUACCAAGGCGGCGACGGGUAGCCGGCCUGAGAGGGUGGACGGCCACAUUGGGACUGGGAUACGGCCCAGACUCCUACGGGAGGCAGCAGUGGGGAGUAUAGCACAAUGGGCGGAAGCCUGAUGCAGCGACGCCGCGUGGGGGAUGACGGCCUUCGGGUUGUAAACUCCUUUCGACCGCGAGGAAGCCACCUGGUUGGAAGGGUGGUGACGGUAGUGGUAGAAGAAGCACCGGCUAACUACGUG
rnacentral:rRNA from 1 species